AAGUCUUCCCCACAGGGCACAACUAUUAUGAGGUUCGCCUCCUCCCCCCGGUUAAACAUUAAGCACUAAGAUUUCCCCAAGCAGCUUGACAGAACAUCGUUUUCCUUGAGCAUCUUCCCUGUGACUACCUUGCACAACGGCAUGUGGCAGAAGUGAUGUCCAGGGUCUCCCGAGGCUGGGUCGGAGGCAUCCUUACAGCUCCCAUCUGGGUCUACCGGAAUCGUCUUGGAGGUUUGCGCCGCCAUGGAAGAAGGCUGACUACGCAGGCUGCCGUGUCGUGAGGAAGCCCGAGGCUUUGUGGAGAGAAAUGCAUGGAAACGGUUUCAGUCCCCAGCCGAGACCCUAGGCAUCAGGGAGCAGAACAUCAAAACUGCGGACUUGGGAUACAAAUGAAUGAUCACUGUUGUUGCAAAGCC
rnacentral:lncRNA from 1 species